UAUUUGACAAAUUAAAUUUUCUUCAAAAACCUUUUAAAGGAAAACUUGCACAUGUAUAGCAUGCGCAUAUUCUGCAUUGGAUUAAACGAUACAUACAUAUGGAUUUCUGAUCAUCAUUGAUUUCGAAUCAAGACUGAGCUUUGAAAUAAAAGGUACAACAUAGUGAAAGUCCUGCAAAACCGUAAAGAGUACGAAAAAGACAUCCAUCUCAAUAUUUAUCAGCAAGAUUCCGUCUAUGCAUGAAGAAAACAUUCAUUCCGGUAUUUAAGAUUCCGUUUAGG